UGCGGAGGAUGCGAGCGUUAUCCGGAUUUAUUGGGUUUAAAGGGUGCGUAGGCGGAUCGUUAAGUCAGUGGUCAAAUUGAGGGGCUCAACCCCUUCCCGCCAUUGAAACUGGCGAUCUUGAGUGGAAGAGAAGUAUGCGGAAUGCGUGGUGUAGCGGUGAAAUGCAUAGAUAUCACGCAGAACCCCGAUUGCGAAGGCAGCAUGCCGGCUUCCUACUGACGCUGAAGCACGAAAGCGUGGGGAUCGAACAGG
rnacentral:rRNA from 1 species